rnacentral:rRNA from 1 species
GAUGAACGCUGGCGGCGUGCUUAACACAUGCAAGUCGAACGAUGAAGCCCAGCUUGCUGGGUGGAUUAGUGGCGAACGGGUGAGUAACACGUGAGUAACCUGCCCUUGACUCUGGGAUAAGCCUGGGAAACUGGGUCUAAUACCGGAUACGACCAUUGCCCGCAUGGGUUGGUGGUGGAAAGCUUUUGUGGUUUUGGAUGGACUCGCGGCCUAUCAGCUUGUUGGUGAGGUAAUGGCUCACCAAGGCGACGACAGGUAGCCGGCCUGAGAGGGUGACCGGCCACACUGGGACUGAGGCACGGCCCAGACUCCUACGGGAGGCAGCAGUGGGGAAUAUUGCACAAUGGGCGAAAGCCUGAUGCAGCGACGCCGCGUGAGGGAUGACGGCCUUCGGGUUGUAAACCUCUUUCAGUAGGGAAGAAGCGAGAGUGACGGUACCUGCAGAAGAAGCGCCGGCUAACUACGUG